rnacentral:lncRNA from 1 species
UUUCCUCAUAAGGUGGAAAAUGGCGUGGAACACUCUUAGCCAUGAUUCUCCGGUACACAGGUGAUUAUGAGUCAGCCUUGGCACUGCGGAACUCCACUUCAGGAAUGGAACCUGGUUUGAACUUUGGUGCUGGGAAGAGAGGAGAGAAAUUUUCCCUGAAAAUCUGUAUCUCAAAACUGGAUCUCAGGACAAAAGAAAAAAAAAGAGACUAUGUCAAGUCAGAAGUAUUUUCUCCAUUUGAGAUGCUUCAAGGAUUAUUCCCAUCUAUAAACAUCCUGUAUAAUUAAAAAGGUUUGUGUUCACUUUACUCACACAGUAACUACCAUAUAAACAAAGAGAUGGCCUUUUCAGACAUUUUCUGUAUUGGAAGGAAAAAUUUAGCAAUGGAACCUACUAUAUUUUGCUACUUUAUCUUUGCUAUUUUAAUUUUUUUUUCUGUAGAGCUUUCCAAAUC